ACGCUCUGCUUUGCUCCCCCAGA
rnacentral:miRNA from 1 species